GCAUAUCAAUAAGCGGAGGAAAAGAAACCAACAGGGAUUGCCCCAGUAACGGCGAGUGAAGCGGCAACAGCUCAAAUUUGAAAUCUGGCCCUCGCGGGCCCGAGUUGUAAUUUGUAGAGGAUGCUUUUGGUGAGGCGCCGCCUGAGUUCCCUGGAACGGGACGCCAUAGAGGGUGAGAGCCCCGUCUGGCUGGCCGCCGAGCCUCUGUAAAGCUCCUUCGACGAGUCGAGUAGUUUGGGAAUGCUGCUCAAAAUGGGAGGUAUAUGUCUUCUAAAGCUAAAUAUUGGCCAGAGACCGAUAGCGCACAAGUAGAGUGAUCGAAAGAUGAAAAGCACUUUGAAAAGAGGGUUAAACAGUACGUGAAAUUGUUGAAAGGGAAGCGCUCGUGACCAGACUUGGGCUUGGCGAAUCAUCCAGGGUUCUCCCUGGUGCACUUUGCCUCGUCCAGGCCAGCAUCAGUUCGCCGCGGGGGAUAAAGACGUCGGGAACGUGGCUCCCUCGGGAGUGUUAUAGCCCGGCGUGUAAUACCCUGGGGCGGACUGAGGUUCGCGCAUCUGCAAGGAUGCUGGCGUAAUGGUCAUCGGCGACCCGUCUUGAAACACGGACCAAGGAGUCGUCCUCGUAUGCGAGUGUUCGGGUGUCAAACCCCUACGCGUAAUGAAAGUGAACGCAGGUGAGAGCUUCGGCGCAUCAUCGACCGAUCCUGAUGUUCUCGGAUGGAUUUGAGUAAGAGCAUACGGGGCCGGACCCGAAAGAAGGUGAACUAUGCCUGUAUAGGGUGAAGCCAGAGGAAACUCUGGUGGAGGCUCGCAGCGGUUCUGACGUGCAAAUCGAUCGUCAAAUAUGGGCAUGGGGGCGAAAGACUAAUCGAACCUUCUAGUAGCUGGUUUCCGCCGA
rnacentral:rRNA from 1 species